CGAGUGAAGCGGCAACAGCUCAAAUUUGAAAUCUGGCCUCUUUGGGGUCCGAGUUGUAAUUUGUAGAGGAUGUUUCGGGCACCGCUCCGGUUUAAAUUUCUUGGAACAGAAUGUCAAAGAGGGUGAGAACCCCGUCUUGGACCGGCAGUAGGGCCCAUGUGAAACUCCUUCGACGAGUCGAGUUGUUUGGGAAUGCAGCUCAAAAUGGGUGGUAAAUUUCAUCUAAAGCUAAAUAUUGGCCAGAGACCGAUAGCGCACAAGUAGAGUGAUCGAAAGAUGAAAAGCACUUUGAAAAGAGAGUUAAACAGUACGUGAAAUUGUUGAAAGGGAAGCGCUUGCAACCAGACUUGCGCGCGGCGGUUCCCCCUUCCUUCUGGUUGGGUUAUUCCGCCGUGUCCAGGCCAACAUCGGUUCUGGGGGUCGGUUAAAGGCCUGGGGAAUGUAUCUACCCUUCGGGCGUAGACUUAUAGCCCCGGGUGUCAUGCGACCUCCCGGGACCGAGGAACGCGCUUCG
rnacentral:rRNA from 1 species